rnacentral:rRNA from 1 species
AACGCUGAGGUGUGAUGACGAGGCACUACGGUGCUGAAGUGACAAAUGCCCUGCUUCCAGGAAAAGCCUCUAAGCAUCAGGUAACAUCAAAUCGUACCCCAAACCGACACAGGUGGUCAGGUAGAGAAUACCAAGGCGCUUGAGAGAACUCGGGUGAAGGAACUAGGCAAAAUGGUGCCGUAACUUCGGGAGAAGGCACGCUGAUGGUAGGUGAAGUGACUUGCUCAUGGAGCUGAAAUCAGUCGAAGAUACCAGCUGGCUGCAACUGUUUAUUAAAAACACAGCACUGUGCAAACACGAAAGUGGACGUAUACGGUGUGACGCCUGCCCGGUGCCGGAAGGUUAAUUGAUGGGGUUAUCCGUAAGGAGAAGCUCUUGAUCGAAGCCCCGGUAAACGGCGGCCGUAACUAUAACGGUCCUAAGGUAGCGAAAUUCCUUGUCGGGUAAGUUCCGACCUGCACGAAUGGCGUAAUGAUGGCCAGGCUGUCUCCACCCGAGACUCAGUGAAAUUGAACUCGCUGUGAAGAUGCAGUGUACCCGCGGCAAGACGGAAAGACCCCGUGAACCUUUACUAUAGCUUGACACUGAACACUGGUCCUUGAUGUGUAGGAUAGGUGGGAGGCUUUGAAGUGUGGACGCCAGUCUGCAUGGAGCCAUCCUUGAAAUACCACCCUUUAAUGGCUGGUGUUCUAACGUGGGCCCGUAAUCCGGGUUGCGGACAGUGUCUGGUGGGUAGUUUGACUGGGGCGGUCUCCUCCUAAAGAGUAACGGAGGAGCACGAAGGUCAGCUAAUCCUGGUCGGACAUCAGGAGGUUAGUGCAAUGGCAUAAGCUGGCUUGACUGCGAGCGUGACGGCGCGAGCAGGUGCGAAAGCAGGUCAUAGUGAUCCGGUGGUUCUGAAUGGAAGGGCCAUCGCUCAACGGAUAAAAGGUACUCCGGGGAUAACAGGCUGAUACCGCCCAAGAGUUCAUAUCGACGGCGGUGUUUGGCACCUCGAUGUCGGCUCAUCACAUCCUGGGGCUGAAGUAGGUCCCAAGGGUAUGGCUGUUCGCCAUUUAAAGUGGUACGCGAGCUGGGUUUAGAACGUCGUGAGACAGUUCGGUCCCUAUCUGCCGUGGGCGCUGGAGAAUUGAGGGGGGCUGCUCCUAGUACGAGAGGACCGGAGUGGACGCAUCACUGGUGUUCGGGUUGUCAUGCCAAUGGCAUUGCCCGGUAGCUAAAUGCGGAAGAGAUAAGUGCUGAAAGCAUCUAAGCACGAAACUUGCCCCGAGAUGAGUUCUCCCUGACUCCUUGAGAGUCCUGAAGGAACGUUGAAGACGACGACGUUGAUAGGCCGGGUGUGUAAGCGCAGCGAUGCGUUGAGCUAACCGGUACUAAUGAACCGUGAGGCUUAACCUUACAACGCCGAAG